AAGACUAUAGACCUGCGGAGUACCUGCGGAGGAUCAUUAACGUAUCUAUGAUGGGGUGCGGAGCGCCCUGCUCCGGUCGAACGGCCGUGCAGCGGGUGCGCCGCCCCCGUCCCACCUCACAAACCCACUGUGAACAUUCACCGGUGGAGGGGGCUCGGUCUGCGCCGUGUCCCCGAUGCCGAAUACCCAAACUCCAGUUGCAAAGAACGUCGUGCGGACUCGGUGCCGCCUAAAACAUGU
rnacentral:misc_RNA from 1 species